ensembl:lncRNA
AUGCAUCUUCCUACUCACACCCCUACUGAAACCAUUCAACCUUAUUUCCCACUGCUCCCUGUCUCUACCUUAGUCAGUGACAUCAUCCCCAGAACACGCCACAGGAAUCUGUUCCUCCAUGACUGCUCUUGUAUGCCUCCCUGCCUAAAGGACGCUUUCAGCUAUCUCUACUUCUCUCUUCCUAUCCAGUUCUGCACACUUUGCUAUGGAAAUUCAACACCCUGCCUUUUAGAAGUAUCCUGCAGUUUGAAUGAAGCCCUGAGGCACAGAGAGAUCACUCAGCUAUUAAGUAGUAGAAUCAGGAUUCAGUCCAAGACAGCAGACUCCAGAGCCCACACUGCUAAAUACAGGAACCCUGGAGCCAACAGCCUGGCUUCAAAUCCUAACUUCAUCUACAGUACUUGGAUUAGUGCCUGACUCAGGACAGAGUCUCAGUUGCCUAGACUGGAGUGCAGUAUCACGACCUCGGCUCACUGCAACAUCCUGGGUUCAAGUGAUUCUCCUGCCUCAGCCUCCUGAGUAACUGGGACUACAGGCGUGCACCACUACGCCUGGCUAAUUUUUGUAUUUUUAUUAUAGAUGGGGUUUCACCAUGUUGGCCUACAUAGAAUUUAGAGAGUAUUAUUUGCUAUCAUUCCAUACCUUCUUGCAGUUUUUCCAAGUGGGUAAUUGACAUUCUUCAUUGCUAUAUUCAGUUGUAAUUUUUCCUGCUAUGUAAUAUUUCUGUGGAAGAAUAUAUCUAUAUCACAAUUUAGGUGUCAUUCUCCUGUAAACAGACAUUUGGAUUGUUCCUAGUUUUAUUUUUUAUGUACUUGUUUUUGCUUUUGUACACAAUGCUUCUAUGACUGUAAUGAAAGCAUAAUACUGAAUAAAUAACUUUAAUAAAGCUCAAAAACAAGAAAAACUUUGUCAUAUCUUGUUAGGGGAUAUAUAUAUUUAAAUAAAACUAGUUUUUAAUGUAAGAGAAUGUCAAACAUAAAAUUCAUGAGAAUGAAACAUGAAAGAAGCAUACUGCCUAAACAACAUUUGUAAUAACUCUUUCAAAAUAUUUACAGAAGGUUCCAGAAGGUUUAUUUUUAAAAUUAUGCUUCAUAACUUAAGUAAUAUUUGGUACAUAUAAAAUGUUAAAUAUUUUCAAAAUUAGGAGACACAUUAUUACAUCUGUUUUUCAAGCCAGCCCUGUGUGUCAGGCUGAAUAGAUAUAAUUGCCCUUGCUUUACAGAUGCUGGAGGUGAGAUAUAGGUCAUUUAUCCAAGGCCUAAUUGCUGCUAAAUCUUGGAGAAGGGCUAGAAACUUCAUUUCAUUAAUCAAUCAAUUAAUUAAUUUGAUAAACAUUUUCUCUAUUCUCCUUUUUGAGAAAGGCACUACCAUCCACCUAAUGAUAUGGCUACAAACCUGAAAGUCAUUCGGAAUGCUUUCCUCUCUCUACUUCAACCAAUUAGAUAUCAAUUUCUAUUAAUAUUAUCUCCUCAAGAGACUUAAAUCACUUCCUUUCUCAUUAUCCCUAUGGGCAUUACCUCAUAGAUCAAUUCGUCUUUGUUUUACCCUCAUAUGGUGACAACUGCCUUCUCACCUUGUCUACAGUCAAUUAUUACAGUCUUGUCCCAAUCAAAUUUAUUGUCAAAGUGAGAAUCAGAGUGCCCCCACCAUGUUUUUUUGUUUGGCUUUGUUAUUCUGUGUUUUUUUUUUUUCUUUCUUUGAGACAGAGUUUUACUUUUGUUGCCCAGGCUGGAGUGCAAUGGCGCAAUCUCGGCUCACUGCAACCUCCGCCUCCUGGGUUCAAGCAAUUCUCCUGCCUCAGCCUGCUUAGUAGCUGGGAUUACAGGCGCAUGCCACCAUGCCUGGCUAAUUUUUGUAUUUUUAGUAGAGACGGGGUCUCACCACGUUGGCCAGGCUGGUCUUGAACUCCUGACCUCAUGUAAUCUGCCAGCCUCGGCCUCCCAAAGUGCUGGGUUUACAGGCGUGAGCCACUGCACUGCGCCAGAGUGCCCCUUUUAACAAGUGACUCUGACUUCCAUUCCUAAUAUUGGAUAAUAGCUCCAUAUUUCCUCCAGGGCAAAGCUGAUGUUUCUCUUUAGGGCAUCGCAAAGCCACCCACAGCCUGUCUUCUGCUGAUACCUCAAAUUCAUUUCUUACUAUUUCACCCACUCACACCAUACCCUCCAAAUACUUGGCGGUUUCCAGGACACAGACCCUUUUAAAAUACCCUCACAAUUAUUUUUGGAGAGCUACAUUUUAUCAGAUAUAUUACAGUAAACUCAUAUACCACAUUAAUAAUUUAGAAAUAAGAUUUGAAUGAGA